AUUGAACGCUGGCGGCAGGCCUAACACAUGCAAGUCGAGCGGAUGAAGGGAGCUUGCUCCUGGAUUCAGCGGCGGACGGGUGAGUAAUGCCUAGGAAUCUGCCUGGUAGUGGGGGAUAACGUCCGGAAACGGGCGCUAAUACCGCAUACGUCCUGAGGGAGAAAGUGGGGGAUCUUCGGACCUCACGCUAUCAGAUGAUCCUAGGUCAGAUUAGCUAGUUGGUGGGGUAAAGGCCUACCAAGGCGACGAUCCGUAACUGGUCUGAGAGGAUGAUCAGUCACACUGGAACUGAGACACGGUCCAGACUCCUACGGGAGGCAGCAGUGGGGAAUAUUGGACAAUGGGCGAAAGCCUGAUCCAGCCAUGCCGCGUGUGUGAAGAGGGUCUUCGGAUUGUAAAGCACUUUAAGUUGGGAGGAAGGGCAGUAAGUUAAUACCUUGCUGUUUUGACGUUACCAACAGAAUAAGCACCGGCUAACUUCGUG
rnacentral:rRNA from 1 species